rnacentral:rRNA from 1 species
AUGGCGUCCAAGGCGCUUAUUCCUCGGGAGUGCCUCCCCCGGCGCAGUCCGACCGGCGGCUUGGAGCCGAUCACGGUCUACGUCCGUGUCGACGAGGAGGGGAACUAUCGCCCGAGGUAUAUGUCCCCCAAAGUUGGGCGAGUGUUCCGAGAUCUCCAGGAUCUUAAACAAGCAGUCCGUACAUUCUACACCAGCAUCUACAUCGCCCGUCGCCUCCUAAAGUGGCCCCUGGAUCCGCCGCCGUCUCCGACCGACAACAUAUUCCAGUUCGAGUUCGUGGUGGAACCUGCAGCAGAUGUGUCGUCCCUCAAGGCUAGUACAGCAUUGGAGGAGAAAUCGUCCGGUUCCGACAAGCUUCUUGAUGAGAAGCCUGCAGAGGUGUCUUCCCUCAAGGACUCGCUCAAGGCUACAACAUUGGAGGAGAAAUCGUCCGGCAACGGAGCCAUUUCCUCUUCUUCCUCUGGGCAGCAGCCGGAUCAGGACACGGUUAUGGCCUCACCACCAUCAGGGAACUGCCUUGCCUCACCUUCUGGGCCAGGCAUUUGGCAACGAGAACGACGCGACUGGGGUUUCGGAUAUUACAUCAGGCUUGAUCAUAAGGGAUCUUUCCACACAUAUCCGAAUGCAGGCGGGCUGUUUAAGAGCUUAGAGGAAGUCGAUAAGGCUAUGGAUCGCUAUUUUCAUGAACAUCGGGAUCCAAAUCUAAGGAAGAAGCGUUCAAGAUCGUAUAUGAUCCAGCAAUUCCAUAAUCAAAUGCGCCGAUUACUUCAAGCCUUGGUGGAGAAGCAUAAUGAGGAUCACAGCCUUUCGGGGGAUCUUGCAUAUGAACUCAAAGAUGUUUUGCACGGCGCAACAAUUUGUGAGGGGCGUACUACAUUUUACUAUCAUCUCAAUUUCACGGUGACUAAAGGAGCUGGUGAUUCUAACUCUGGCAUUGAAAACCUUUUCUUCGCGGAAGUCAAAUGUGUGCUACAAGGAAAAGAAGAGGAAUUCUCGGUCACCUGUUUCUGCCCGGUUGAAUCUACCGAUGAUGGAUACUGCUAUGGUUGUACCAUGGAUAGGGAUGUCAAUAUGAAGCACCCCAUCAGUGCCAGUGCAUACCUUGCCGGUCAGGUGAAGGUGGGUUCACACAUUGGAUACUACUCUUAUGAAGGCUGGAGCAGCGACUCAGACGACGAAAAUAUGUUCAUGCGGCCUCCGACUACGAGGGCUUUUGACGCCGACAACAUGACUUUCGACGACGCCGGCGACUAA